CUUCUGUAAAUAUCAACAUCAGUCUUUGUGAGAGAGGAAGAGUUGACAGGAUACAGAUCACACCUUCACACUAGGCUACCAGCAGAAACUUCCAGUUUACCCCCUUUGUCACCUGUGCUCCAAAGAAACGGAAGCUCAGGCUGAGAGAGUAAGAAACCUUCCCAAUGAUUCACAUCAUGUGUGUGUUGAGGCCAGGAGUCUUCAGAGUCUGUGUGCUUAGCUUUGCUAUGCUGCUCUUAGAAGGAAAGGAUGCUCAACGAAAGUCAAUCAGAGAUAAGUUCUAGGUACCAAUGAAUUAAUUACAUCGAAGAUCACUACACUGGACUACAGAUAACCUAGAGCCUUCUCAAAGGAG